UUAAUCUCUUAUAUGUUGUUUUAUGUAUAUAUUUAUCUACUUCUUGCAAAUGCAACACCUUGUCCUUCCUUUGUCCAAACCUUUCUUCUCUUCCAAAACCUACUCCCCAGAAAUUUUGUGAGUCUUUUUUUGAGAGAAGAACGAUCCUUGUCUCUGCCGUCGUUGCUUGUAGAAUCUGAAAUGGUGACAUCAGGCCGAUGACCAAUUCUGGUAGUCUGCCAGUUUGGGCCGCCGAGAGAAGGCAAUUUCAUUAGAUGCCUCUCGAUUUGAUGGCUGACUGAUACCAAUUCAUAUGAAUCAUAUAAAGGGCUGCCACAAUCCCAUAUAUCAAAUGCUGCUGCUGCUUCAUUUCUUUCUUUGGAUUUUCUCAUAUUUUUGAGUUUGAAAGAACUUCUGGGUUUAGAAACAAAUGAUCUAAUGUAUUGGGAGAUUCUCUAAAAGUUAUAUCAAUUUUUAAUUUAAGCUGGCCUGUCCUUCCAUUAAUUAACU
rnacentral:lncRNA from 1 species